rnacentral:rRNA from 1 species
UACGGAGAGUGCGAACGUUGUUCGGAUUCACUGGGCGUAAAGGGCACGUAGGCGGCUUGGCAAAUCGGUCGUGGAAUCCCGACGCUUACCGUCGGAACGGCGGCCGAAAAUACCGAGCUCGAGGGCGUGAGGGGUCACUGGAACUCCUAGUGAAGCGGUGAAAUGCGUAGAUAUCAGGAGGAACGCCGGAGGCGAAAGCGAGUGACUGGCGCGUUCCUGACGCUGAGGUGCGAAAGCUAGGGGAGCAAACAGG